GCAAACGGGAUUAGAUACCCUGGUAGUCCACGCUGUAAACGAUGUCGAUUUGGAGGUUGUGCCCUUGAGGCGUGGCUUCCGGAGCUAACGCGUUAAAUCGACCGCCUGGGGAGUACGGCCGCAAGGUUAAAACUCAAAUGAAUUGACGGGGGCCCGCACAAGCGGUGGAGCAUGUGGUUUAAUUCGAUGCAACGCGAAGAACCUUACCUACUCUUGACAUCCAGAGAACUUAGCAGAGAUGCUUUGGUGCCUUCGGGAACUCUGAGACAGGUGCUGCAUGGCUGUCGUCAGCUCGUGUUGUGAAAUGUUGGGUUAAGUCCCGCAACGAGCGCAACCCUUAUCCUUUGUUGCCAGCGGUUCGGCCGGGAACUCAAAGGAGACUGCCAGUGAUAAACUGGAGGAAGGUGGGGAUGACGUCAAGUCAUCAUGGCCCUUACGAGUAGGGCUACACACGUGCUACAAUGGCAUAUACAAAGAGAAGCGACCUCGCGAGAGCAAGCGGACCUCAUAAAGUAUGUCGUAGUCCGGAUUGGAGUCUGCAACUCGACUCCAUGAAGUCGGAAUCGCUAGUAAUCGUAGAUCAGAAUGCUACGGUGAAUACGUUCCCGGGCCUUGUACACACCGCCCGUCACACCAUGGGAGUGGGUUGCAAAAGAAGUAGGUAGCUUAACCUUCGGGAGGGCGCUUACCACUUUGUGAUUCAUGACUGGG
rnacentral:rRNA from 1 species